UUAAGCGACUAAGCGUACACGGUGGAUGCCCUGGCAGUCAGAGGCGAUGAAGGACGUGCUAAUCUGCGAAAAGCGUCGGUAAGGUGAUAUGAACCGUUAUAACCGGCGAUGUCCGAAUGGGGAAACCCAGUGCAAUUCGUUGCACUAUCGUUAACUGAAUACAUAGGUUAACGAGGCGAACCGGGGGAACUGAAACAUCUAAGUACCCCGAGGAAAAGAAAUCAACCGAGAUUCCCCCAGUAGCGGCGAGCGAACGGGGAGCAGCCCAGAGUCUGAAUCAGCUUGUGUGUUAGUGGAACGGUCUGGAAAGUCCGACGGUACAGGGUGAUAGUCCCGUACACCAAAAUGCACAGGCUGUGAACUCGAAGAGUAGGGCGGGACACGUGGUAUCCUGUCUGAAUAUGGGGGGACCAUCCUCCAAGGCUAAAUACUCCUGACUGACCGAUAGUGAACCAGUACCGUGAGGGAAAGGCGAAAAGAACCCCGGCGAGGGGAGUGAAAAAGAACCUGAAACCGUGUACGUACAAGCAGUGGGAGCACCUUCGGGUGUGACUGCGUACCUUUUGUAUAAUGGGUCAGCGACUUAUAUUCUGUAGCAAGGUUAACCGUAUAGGGGAGCCGCAGGGAAACCGAGUCUUAACUGGGCGUUAAGUUGCAGGGUAUAGACCCGAAACCCGGUGAUCUAGCCAUGGGCAGGUUGAAGGUUGGGUAACACUAACUGGAGGACCGAACCGACUAAUGUUGAAAAAUUAGCGGAUGACUUGUGGCUGGGGGUGAAAGGCCAAUCAAACCGGGAGAUAGCUGGUUCUCCCCGAAAGCUAUUUAGGUAGCGCCUCGUGAACUCAUCUUCGGGGGUAGAGCACUGUUUCGGCUAGGGGGUCAUCCCGACUUACCAACCCGAUGCAAACUACGAAUACCGAAGAAUGUUAUCACGGGAGACACACGGCGGGUGCUAACGUCCGUCGUGAAGAGGGAAACAACCCAGACCGCCAGCUAAGGUCCCAAAGUCAUGGUUAAGUGGGAAACGAUGUGGGAAGGCACAGACAGCCAGGAUGUUGGCUUAGAAGCAGCCAUCAUUUAAAGAAAGCGUAAUAGCUCACUGGUCGAGUCGGCCUGCGCGGAAGAUGUAACGGGGCUAAACCAUGCACCGAAGCUGCGGCAGCGACACUAUGUGUUGUUGGGUAGGGGAGCGUUCUGUAAGCCUGCGAAGGUGACCUGUGAGGGUUGCUGGAGGUAUCAGAAGUGCGAAUGCUGACAUAAGUAACGAUAAAGCGGGUGAAAAGCCCGCUCGCCGGAAGACCAAGGGUUCCUGUCCAACGUUAAUCGGGGCAGGGUGAGUCGACCCCUAAGGCGAGGCCGAAAGGCGUAGUCGAUGGGAAACAGGUUAAUAUUCCUGUACUUGGUGUUACUGCGAAGGGGGGACGGAGAAGGCUAUGUUAGCCGGGCGACGGUUGUCCCGGUUUAAGCAUGUAGGCUGGUUAUCCAGGCAAAUCCGGAUAAUCAAGGCUGAGGUGUGAUGACGAGGCACUACGGUGCUGAAGUAACAAAUGCCCUGCUUCCAGGAAAAGCCUCUAAGCAUCAGGUAACAUUGAAUCGUACCCCAAACCGACACAGGUGGUCAGGUAGAGAAUACCAAGGCGCUUGAGAGAACUCGGGUGAAGGAACUAGGCAAAAUGGUGCCGUAACUUCGGGAGAAGGCACGCUGGUGUGUAGGUGAAGUCCCUGCGGAUGGAGCUGAGACCAGUCGAAGAUACCAGCUGGCUGCAACUGUUUAUUAAAAACACAGCACUGUGCAAACACGAAAGUGGACGUAUACGGUGUGACGCCUGCCCGGUGCCGGAAGGUUAAUUGAUGGGGUUAUCCGUAAGGAGAAGCUCUUGAUCGAAGCCCCGGUAAACGGCGGCCGUAACUAUAACGGUCCUAAGGUAGCGAAAUUCCUUGUCGGGUAAGUUCCGACCUGCACGAAUGGCGUAAUGAUGGCCAGGCUGUCUCCACCCGAGACUCAGUGAAAUUGAACUCGCUGUGAAGAUGCAGUGUACCCGCGGCAAGACGGAAAGACCCCGUGAACCUUUACUAUAGCUUGACACUGAACAUUGAGCCUUGAUGUGUAGGAUAGGUGGGAGGCUUUGAAGCGUGGACGCCAGUCUGCGUGGAGCCAACCUUGAAAUACCACCCUUUAAUGUUUGAUGUUCUAACGUUGGCCCCUGACCGGGGUUGCGGACAGUGUCUGGUGGGUAGUUUGACUGGGGCGGUCUCCUCCCAAAGCGUAACGGAGGAGCACGAAGGUUAGCUAAUCCUGGUCGGACAUCAGGAGGUUAGUGCAAUGGCAUAAGCUAGCUUGACUGCGAGCGUGACGGCGCGAGCAGGUGCGAAAGCAGGUCAUAGUGAUCCGGUGGUUCUGAAUGGAAGGGCCAUCGCUCAACGGAUAAAAGGUACUCCGGGGAUAACAGGCUGAUACCGCCCAAGAGUUCAUAUCGACGGCGGUGUUUGGCACCUCGAUGUCGGCUCAUCACAUCCUGGGGCUGAAGUAGGUCCCAAGGGUAUGGCUGUUCGCCAUUUAAAGUGGUACGCGAGCUGGGUUUAGAACGUCGUGAGACAGUUCGGUCCCUAUCUGCCGUGGGCGCUGGAGAAUUGAGGGGGGCUGCUCCUAGUACGAGAGGACCGGAGUGGACGCAUCACUGGUGUUCGGGUUGUCAUGCCAAUGGCACUGCCCGGUAGCUAAAUGCGGAAGAGAUAAGUGCUGAAAGCAUCUAAGCACGAAACUUGCCCCGAGAUGAGUUCUCCCUGAGACUUUAAGUCUCCUGAAGGAACGUUGAAGACGACGACGUUGAUAGGCCGGGUGUGUAAGCGCAGCGAUGCGUUGAGCUAACCGGUACUAAUGAACCGUGAGGCUUAACCU
rnacentral:rRNA from 1 species